GCCAAGAUGGCCGAGUGGUUUAAGGCGCUGCAUUUAAGCUGCAGUAUCGAGAGAUGCCUGGGUUCGAACCCCAGUCUUGGCA
rnacentral:tRNA from 4 species